AUUUACCCCCUUAUUAAAUGAAGCAGAUUCUGAUACUUGCAGAGAGGAGGAGGGCUCCAGUAGUUUCUCAUCGUAGGUAACUCUGUUGGAACUCCUGCUCUCUCUUCUCCUCUUCUUCCUGCCUGAGUUGUUAGUAAUCCUAGUGCUGCCUCCAAUCCAAACUCACGGAUUUAUAAAGCAGAGUCUAACUUAGAUUCAUAUGUAGUUGGAAAAUCGGGCCCAUAAGCCUAGCAUUAUCUUUCCUGAAGCUAAAAAUAUGGCUGUGUGCUGCAGCGUGCAGGAGGGUUGUUGGAGGAGGGAGGGAGGGAGGGAGGGCACACACGCAGCCCUGGUGAGAAAAGCUCUGGCAGCACUGAUGUCAGUGUGAGAUGAUGUUGCUCUGUAGCUGCCACAAAACAGCAUUUGGCCUGAGGCUACAUUAAUAAAGAUAUUGCCUUUAGAAUAGGGAGGUGCCCUACAGUGAUCAUUCAUUCAACUGACAUUUGUUGUCUGCUAGGUAUAUGACUGCUUUUGCAUUUAGAAAGCAUUUUAGUAAAAAGGAUUUUCGGCCUUGUGGUGUAUGUGUUCUAGAUGUAAGCUUAUCCAACCUGUGGCUCACAGGCUGCAUGUGGCCCAGGACAGCUUCCAAUAUGAGGACGUUUUUACUUAUCUGUGGCGGCAGAUAUCAUGAAAAUUAUGCACAUACCUUUUUUUUCUUGUUUCUAUUUUUUUCUGCUCAUCAGCUGUCAUUAGUGUGUUUUAUGUGUGGCUCAAGACAAUUCUUCCCAUGUGGCCCAAGAAAGCCAAAAGACUGGACACCUCUGUAGGCAGAUGAUAGAUAUAGUAUAAACAGAGUAAGAGCAGAAAAUGCUUGAGUGAGAAGGUGGCAAGUGCUGUGGGGCAGGUGAUCCAGAGUGUGGGCUGUGGGGACAGGGGGGUGGCUGCUGCGCUGGGUGGUCAGCAUGGACCUCAUUGAAAAUGUGACCUUCGAGUAAAGAUUUCAGGGAUGUCAGGAGCUGUCCCCAAGGAUGACUGGGAAAGCUCUUUUCAGGCAGGAACCUUCAGUGCAGAUGCACUAGGGCAGGAAAGUGUCUGUGUUCCUGGAAGGAGGAAGAGGCCAGCAGGGCUGGACAGAGAAACUGAAAUGAGAAGAAUCAAGGACACCCACAGUGUUGGACUGAGUGAGUAGAAGGGUGGAGCUGCUGUCCGUGGAGACGGGGAGACUCUGGCAGGAGCAUACGGAGGAGAGGGCAUCGCAGGCAUUCAGUGGAGGAGACAUCUACGAGGAGUGCAGGUGAGGGGCCCGGAUGCCUCUGCAGCUACAGCUUCACCACCCAGUUACUCUCCUGGUUCCACCCCCUGUGUCUCAGAGCCAGAGCACUGCUUCUCCCCUGGGCUGUCUGCACAGGUAGGUGGAAGUCAGGGUCUGCUGUUGGUUAUAAUAAGCCAUGGAUUAUUGUGCUUUCUCAGAUAAUUAAAGAAAUAAUAAGAGAAGUUGUAACUAGAA